CAUUGGAAUUCAUGCAAAUAAAUUUACACUGGGGAGUCUUCCUUCUGGAUUUAAAAGAAGAGGAGGAAAAGCUUCAAGAGCAAUUUUGUGUCCAGUGCCCAAACUCUUUCUGAGACUGCACCAUGGUCUGGCCUCUGUAUCUCUUUCCAUUUCUUGGCUACCUCUCAGGUGUUAAUUCACAGCCAACUUUGACUCAACCAGCCUCGGUGUCUGUGUCUCUAGGAGACACCACUAAACUCUCGUGCAGUGUCAGCAGUAACAUCUACAAUGUCGCUUGGUAUCAGCAGACUCCAGCCAAGGCCCUCGCUAUGUGCAAGCUGAUGGUUACAGCAGGGGACCAGGGAUCCCAGAUCGAUUCACUGCUUCCCGCACGGGGAACAUGGGAUAUUUAACCAUUACCAAUGUUCAGGCUGAAGAUGAGGCUGAUUAUUACUGUGGAAUGUGGUACAGCAGUGGGAGCG